CCUACGGGAGGCAGCAGUGAGGAAUAUUGGUCAAUGGGCUUACGCCUGAACCAGCCAAGUCGCGUGAGGGAAGACUGCCCUAUGGGUUGUAAACCUCUUUUGUCAGGGAGCAACGCCGGCUACGUGUAGCCUGACUGAGAGCACCUGCAGAAAAAGCAUCGGCUAACUCCGUGCCAGCACCCGCGUUACUACGGAGGACCCGAGCGUUAUCCGGAUUUAUCGGGUUAAAAGGGCGCGUAGGCGGAUAUCCAUGUCAGCGGUAAAAUCGCGGGGCUAAACCUAACUCCGCCGUUGAAACUGGCAUUCUUGAGUGUGCGAGAGGUAUGCGGAAUGCGUGGUGUAGCGGUGAAAUGCAUAGAGAUCACGAAGAACUCCGAUUGCGAAGGCAGCAUACCAGCGCCCAACUGACGCUGAAGCACGAAAGCGUGGGUAUCGAACAGGAUUAGAUACCCCUGUAGUC
rnacentral:rRNA from 1 species